rnacentral:rRNA from 1 species
UACGUAGGGUGCGAGCGUUGUCCGGAAUUAUUGGGCGUAAAGAGCUUGUAGGCGGUUUGUCGCGUCUGCUGUGAAAAUCCGGGGCUCAACCCCGGACUUGCAGUGGGUACGGGCAGACUGGAGUGUGGUAGGGGAGACUGGAAUUCCUGGUGUAGCGGUGGAAUGCGCAGAUAUCAGGAGGAACACCGAUGGCGAAGGCAGGUCUCUGGGCCACUACUGACGCUGAGAAGCGAAAGCAUGGGUAGCAAACAGG